rnacentral:guide_RNA from 1 species
AAACAAAACGUGUAUUCAUAUGUAGGAAGUUAAGUGAAUGA